CAAAAACUUUCCUUUCCCUUUAUUCAUGAAAAUUUGGUCUUUGGUUGAUUUCCUGCUUUCGUUUCCAUAGAAACUAAUGGCAUGUUUUACUAGACAAUGCUGCUUAUGGAAAAGCUGACCCUGGAUAGGUACAUUGCUCCUGUAGUGGCAAUUACAAAUACAGUAUUCUUCCUUUAUCCCCAGUUUUGUUUCCACAACUUCAGUCACCCCAGUCGACCAUGGUCCAAAAAUACUAAGUGGAAAAUGACCCCCCAGAUUCCUAAGUUUUAAAUUACAUGUCAUUCUGAGUAGUGUGAUGAAAUCUUGCACCAUUCUGCUUCAUCCUGACUAGGAUGUGAAUCUUCCCUUUCUCCAGUAUCUCCACUCUGUGGGGAUCUCCU
rnacentral:lncRNA from 1 species